UACGUAGGGUGCAAGCGUUAAUCGGAAUUACUGGGCGUAAAGCGUGCGCAGGCGGCGCCGCAAGUCAGGCGUGAAAUCCCCGAGCUCAACUUGGGAAUUGCAUUCGAGACUGCAUAGCUAGGAUGCGGAAGAGGGAAGUGGAAUUUCCGGUGUAGCGGUGAGAUGCGUAGAUAUCGGAAGGAACAUCAGUGGCGAAAGCGACUUCCUGGUCCAGCAUCGACGUUCAGGCACGAAAGCUGGGGGAGCGAACAGG
rnacentral:rRNA from 1 species